rnacentral:siRNA from 1 species
AGAAUAGAGAUUUGGUGUUGAUA